rnacentral:rRNA from 1 species
UACAGAGGUCCCGAGCGUUGUUCGGAUUCACUGGGCGUAAAGGGUGCGUAGGUGGUGAGGUAAGUCGGAUGUGAAAUCUCCAGGCUCAACCUGGAAACUGCAUUGGAAACUACCUUGCUAGAGGGUUUGAGGGGGGACUGGAAUUCUCGGUGUAGCAGUGAAAUGCGUAGAUAUCGAGAGGAACACCGGUGGCGAAGGCGGUUCUCUGGGCAUGUCCUGACGCUGAGGAGCGAAAGCGUGGGGAGCGAACAGG